rnacentral:lncRNA from 1 species
GCGUUGUGCCUGGUGACUCUAUUUGCCUCCGUGAUCGUUCAGGUUGCUGCCCAAGAGCCAGCUUCGGCCCCCACGGCCACGCCUCCAGUUGGAGCUCCAACAGUACCCCCUCCCGCUGGGUCUCCUUUCCAGCCACCCACCAGUUCUCCUCCCGCUGCGUCGGGUCCAGCUUCAGUUCCUCCUCCACCACCAUCACCCUCAGGUUCGACUGUUCGUGUUCUACGUCCUUUCCCGAUCGAUUCUAUUUCAGAUUGGAGCUUUUUAAGCUAUCAGUUAGUGUUGGGGAUGCGAUGGACAUGGUCAAUAUAUGUAAGUACUUGAAUAAUUUCUGAUUGUAGAUACGUGGUUUUGAAUUUUUGCAGCUGAGACCCCCACUGCCACAGACUCUCCUCCCGCCGCUGCAGGACCCGGACCCGCCACAUCCCCAUCUAGCGAUGCCUUCACCGUGGCACCGACUGUUUCGAUUGUGUUGAUGAGCACCCUUGCUUACCUUCUUUACUAGAUCUCGGGGUAAUGAGGCUUAGCAUUCACGUCAGGAUUAGUCAUGGAGCUGCUGUAUCCA